rnacentral:lncRNA from 1 species
UCAACUGUGGCAAAUGCAUAAGGCUCAGGUCAGAGGUAUGUAAAGGCUUCUUAUAAUCACAGUGAUUAUUACACUAAUAAUAUAUAGAUUAGUUCCCUAAUCUAUAUCGGAUCUUAUCGUUAAAAAAACAAAUAAUUGUUUUGUGUAGGACUUAAAUCUUCCAUAUAAUUAGGUGUUGUAUUUACUUUGCAACCCCUUUUUAGGAAGGGGUAAAUAUCUCAAAUUGUUUUACUGAGAAUUUGUACUAUAAGCCCAACUACAUAUUAUAUGGUGAAGGCCAAGAUGUGAAUGAUCACUGAGGAAGCGAUUCCUUUUCCAAGAUUCUUACACCCCUCCCCAAACAAACUGUCCCAGUGUUUUCUCUCAACUUAAAACAGAAAAUUUGUGAUUUUCGUGGCCUUCAAAUGCGGAAGCUAUCCUCACGAAAGCAUCUGGUUUUCUUGGAUCAAAAGUAAACCAUGAACCUUC